rnacentral:misc_RNA from 1 species
UGUUCGAGCGUCAUUGCAACCCUCAAGCCCUGCUUGGUAUUGGAUGUCACCGUCCUGGUGCGUCCCAAAGUUAUCGGCGGUGCAGUAUGGCCUCUAGCGUAGUAACUCUCUCGCUUGGGGUCUAGACGGGACACCACCAGAGCCUAAUUUUUAUUUCAAAGGUUGACCUCGGAUCAGGUAGGGAUACCCGCUGAACUUAA